AACAGUCUUCCACUCUCCUGAAGCUUCCACCUCAGUAUUUGAAGAUUCCAAGGACUAAGGACUUCAAAAAAAAAAUCUCUAUUGCACGCACAUCCUGAUUCCAUCAGGACACAACAUUACAUUUAGAUGCCAGGUCUCCACAAUCCUUUUGCUUUGAUAAUUUUCUUAUGAUUGGACCAGGAUUAUGUGUUUUUGGAGAAAUGCCAAAGAGGGGGAGAGCAAAACCUUGGAGAAGACAACUCCCAUUGGCAAAGGCAGUGCCCCUAGAAGAACACAGCUGAAUGCCCUGCCCUCAUCACUGUUACUGUUCAGUGUGAAAGAGAACAUCCUGAC